AACCUCAACUUUUCUUAAAGGUAAAGUAACUCCAUGACACCAUAUUAUUUGUAUGCCUUUUGUAAUGCAGAGACUGUUACAAACCUCAAAACCAGAGAGCUCCUCCAGCUUCUGAAACAGCUGCAUCUCUGCCUGGUUGUGCUCUUGGAUGGUUUGGUACAGCUGUCACAAAACAGAGCCUUGCUCUGAGGCGCCUCCAUAUUCCUGCAUCUUCUGCUGGGACUGAUGAGGCUGGUGAUGUCUCUAACCUACCCUGAAUCGGUCAUCUUCUUUACUGCAGUAGCAUCUUCAACAACAUCUGCUGUGUUCCUUCUGCUGGCAGAGGUUGUAUUUCGUGUUGUUGGGGGUAAAUCAGUAUAUCUGGCUAUGUUUUUUAUCAUUCUGUGUGAACUUGAGUCUCUGGAGUCUAAAAUGCUCUAAAAUUGCUUUUCUUUCUUUCAGUGAAAUUGUCAGGAAGAAAAUACUGCUAAAAAGGAGGCAUAGUUUAAAUUUAAGGCAUCAGCUGAGGUCUGUGGCACUGCAGGUUUUCAUGUGGAGUUGCACAGCCAUAGACUUCCGUACAGAGCCCUGCAACAAGUUAGACAAGAGGCACUGAGGCCUCUCCUGCAGGACUCCCAUUCCAGGAGAAGAUUGAUUUGUGCAGGAACUGCCCAAAGAAGUAUCAAAGUCACUGCUUGCUGGCAGUACUUCUCUCCAGAUGUACCAUUUGGCACAUUAAGCAAUUCUUUUCUUAGAAGGGGAACCUAUGGUUUUGUCAUGUAAUGCAAAACACCAAUGGAAUCACUACAUAAGCAAAAUGCCAGUAAUGGUACAGUGGUCCAGCCACAAACAUUGCAAACAACCCAGGGCAAAACAUGGUUGUGAAGGUUUGCAGCUACACUUGGAGCUGGAGAAAGCCAGUGCAGUAGUGCUGUGAGCUCAGCCAUGUGGAUUCAGCAUUGAGGGGAGAAGGGAUGCACAUUCAAGAAUGCCUACAGAUACAGUUCUGUCUACACCUCACCACAGCUACAUGGAUUAGAGCUAUAAAGAUGUUGGUCUAAGUCACAAGAGUUUUGGAGACUGGAAAUACUUGAUUUCAGUAGUUGAAUUUAAAGUUAUCUGAAGAUUGUUGCAGAUCCCGAAUGCUGAAGAGUUCCUGAAAUACAUCUACUUCCAAGCUGAAAAUGGCUGCACAGCAAGGCAAUAGCAUUUCAACCCAAAAGUGCAUGUAAGUCUUCAUCAAGCUGCUAUUGUCUGAAGUGGAAUUUGGUGCAGAAAUCCCAUCUGGUGAUUUAUAUUCUUGCAGAAAAUGUCACCAUGAGGAAUUGAAUGCUUCAGAAGAAUUGAGGCUUCUAUUACUUUUCAUUCAAAAAGAAAUGCUUUAAAUGGUGUUAUGAAGCAAGAGCUCACUACUGGGAUCAAUCCUCUCCUUGAAGGCUUGAGGCCUGGUUAGGUUCAGGCUGUUAAAUUGUGCCCACAGCUGAUACAGCAGUUAAUGGGAUUGUGAUCAGCAGCUUCAAAUGCAUCAAUCUGAUCCCUGAUGUUUCUGAGGUGGACAUUAGCAAACAUGGAACUUAAACUGUAUAGAACCUUCACUUUUGCUGUGAAGAGGCUUUAAAGAGCCUUUUAAGGACACUUCACUUGUUUACCAAGGUCUGCUUUUUUUGUGUUUCCAUUUUAAAAUAGACUAAUGUAUGUUUCUUACCUCUUGUUACAUUUGCAUUAAUUUUUAUUUCACUGUUUCCAUAAAUCCAUCAGUCUUGUUGCUGAUAUGUAUGUUGAAUAUGUAUUAUCCCAUGUAUAAGGGACUGGAGAAUUGGAUUUUGAUCCAGUCCCACAGCUGAUAUUCUGCUAUGGGCUGUGGAUGUCAAUAAUGUGAAAUUAAAAAAGUAGAUGUAAACUAUUGUAAGAACAUGUUUGUUAGGGUUACUGUAUUAUGCAGUAGAUUUCACUGUAUGAGAAAUCUGUUAUUCAAGGUAGAAUGUAUUUUGAACUUGAAUUCUUCAGAAAAAUAACCUAUAGAUAAAGCUGUGAUAGCAUCAGAAAAAUAGUUAUCUUAAAUUCAUAUUUGCAAAUGAAUGACAAAAUCAAUGCCAUAGUUCUCAGGAGGGUUGUUUCUGUGUUUUCAAUAAAUUCUAUUGAAGAAUGAUGUAGGUCCCUCUAGCUUCCCUCAUCAUGGCUGAUAUUCUGCUUGGAUGCAUGUGACUUUUCUCAUGACUCUAGUCUCACUUUAGGCACACCACAAACUCAGGAAAACAAUUUUUUAACUUAUUUAUGUUGUCCUCUAAAUCACUGAAUCAUAUGAUGGUUAGACCUUAAAGACCAUAUAGUUUCAACACCCUGCCAUGGUGGGUACAAGCUUCUAGUGCAACUGUCAUAGGGAAAAAAAAAGCACAAUUGUUCUGUUUUAUUUAAUAAAACCUGCAAAAUCCAGCACAGGUGAUUGAAUUCCCAGCCUUCUCCCAGUACAAAAAACUGUUCAUUUCCAUUUGGCUUUUCCUCAGGUACUCCUAUGGGGGAAAAAAACUAUUCAUCUCUACUCCAAAAGUACUUGUGAACUUUUUUUUUGAAAGUUGGUGGGAAAUCCUCUUAGUCCUUUGGGCAACAGGACAGUGAGCUCUUUCACUUGGCAUCUGCAGCUUUGGAACACCUGAGUUGAGAAGCCUCUGCUUGGCAUCUGCCUAUAAACAAGACUGCUUCUAUUUCUUUCACAAGUCUAUGUGUUUGCAGAAGGACUUUUGUUUUUAUGUGUCUGUGUGACUGAAGGAGAAAAGGCCAAGGAGUAAAAGUGUUCGCUGGGACUGGUUGAAAUGCACACAGGUGAUGGUUCUGUACUGGGGAACGCGUGGCCAAGAGUUUUGGGGUUGGCUGUGGAGCUGGACACAUACGUGGGAGAUGUCAUCUAUUAAACCUUAGAUUGGCUUUUGCAUGUGGAAUUGUUUGUUGUUGUCGUUUAGAAGCUGUUCAUUGUAGAAUUGUACUGGUUGGUUUUUUGUGUGUUCCAAUUGAAUGUUUAACUGUCAUGAGCAUUAUCCCUAUUUUUGUAAUCCCUUAGUCAUUUGUUUGUUGCUAUUGAUGCAUUGUUUGUAAGUUUAAUAUUCUCUUUAAAGUUUGUUACUUUCGAGGUUUUCAAAGCAAAUCCCCUCACCAGCAGCAUCUUACAAAGAGUUUUUAACCUGCCCCAGAAGACUUGUAACUUGACACCACGGCAAUGGUGCAUACUAAUGAGGAACUUUCUCUCCAAAACCUCAGUUACCCCAAGGACAGCAAACUGUUGGAGCAGAAGAUGUUACCAGCACCCAUCAACAACAAUUACAGGGGUGGGACUGCCAGCAACAAGCUGAGGGGACACAGAUUAUAAAAGGACCUGUGAAGUUUGAAGAAAUGCCCUUUAACUGUGGAUUAGCUGCAGCUGAGGACCCGACACUGCAGACUUCGGUCUACAUCUCUUAGAGACUUUUUUAUAUAAAUUUGAGUGCAGAUUAGCUGCAUUCACAGCAGUGCCGCUGAGUUCUUGCUUUGGGACCAAAACGCCGGUUCUGCCAGAGAAUUCCUCAAUCCUCAGACCCGGGACUUUUUUUAAUUUCUUUUCUUUUUUUCUCCCUCACCCAUUAUCCCUUCCUCCCCUUUGUUUUUUUCCCGUAAUAAACACCCCAAAGUUGUGUCUUUUUCCUCACAGAGAGGAUGCGACAGGGCAGUGUUGAGGUUUGUCAUCAUGUGGAAGCCCUGCUUUCUGUGAACCACUGAAGUCAGUGACAGGCUUUGUGCUGUCCUCUAUAGGAGCUCCUUCUGUGGACCAUCAGGAGGUCAAAAUCAUGGAAUCACAGAAUGGUUUGGCUUGGAAGAGACCUUAAAGCUCACCCCAUCCCAUCCCCUGUUAUGG